rnacentral:rRNA from 1 species
CUGCUGCCUUCCGUAGGAGUCUGGUCCGUGUCUCAGUACCAGUGUGGGGGACCUUCCUCUCAGAACCCCUACGCAUCGUCGUCUUGGUGGUCCGUUACACCGCCAACUAACUAAUGCGACGCAUGCCCAUCCGCCGCCGGAAUUAACCUUUGGCACCAACAGGAUGUCCCGUCGAUGCAUUAUGCCGUAUUAGACGGAAUUUCUCCCGAUUAUCCGGCUGUGGCAGGCAGGUUGCAUACGUGUCACUCA